AGGCAAGAAAGCCCCCCUUCAGUGCCCAGAGAGCCGCACGGACGAGUAUGUUUGGGCGUGAAUCUCUGGCCUAGGACACCGGAGAGUGGCAGGAUCCCAACACCGCCUGGGAAGUCAGAAGUCUGGGCCCUCUCUUUCUGGAGAGCUCUCUUGAGAGGCUGAUUCAGUACAGACGCUGGAGGGUGAGCACAGACAGACAGGCUACACAACACCGACCACUUCUUGCCAAACAUGUGGCCGAUAGAAGACGAGAAAGGACCAAGAAACCCCACAGAUUGAAGGAGACAAAGGACAUGUGGGCUCUGAUCCGCUGCAUGAAGAGCCCACUCUCAUGGCUUCAUCACGUCCUGCAGGCUGCACCUCCUAAUACCAUCGUUAGGGAGUUGGUUUCAAACGAACGCUUUUAGAGGAAUAGGUACACUCCAACCAUAGGACUGGGUGAGGUCGGUAUGUCUGCCA
rnacentral:lncRNA from 1 species